CCUCGGCGUAAACCCGGCAGCACGGUCCAAAGAAUCUCUCAUCAAGGCAUUCAUUUACCGCCCCACACCCGCAAGCACACAGCAGCAGUCAGCGGUUGCGCCGCCCUGUGGAAGCUGAGGGAGCAGCAUUCAGGCGAGGGAGUCUGGAUGCAUGCAGCUUGAAUUUUCCAGCACUGUUGGUCUGUAUGAUGUUUGAUCGUUCGCUAUGGGACCACCUUGGGUUUGUUUAAGAUGCAGUGCUGCCAGCUUCAUUAUUGAAAGACCCUCCCAAAACACUCAACCCAAUAUGAAAUGAAGAAGUGCCAUAAAUCGCACGGUGAAGUUUCUGCGAGGAGCAGCAGGUCUCCGUGGUGAAGGUCUGAGGAAUGAGCUCAGGCUGUCAUUCUACUGUAGCUGCUGUGUUUCCAGGGGAAAUAAGCUGAGAGAGUGGACAGUAAUGACAGUCAGGACUGGACCUUAGGUGUGUGUGUCAUCUAAAUGUGUUUGCACCAAACCUCAUUAUUAAUUGCUGCAGUGUUGUAUUGCAUUGUGCAGUAUGCAUUAAAGGGAUAGUUCACCCACAAACAAAGAUACUUUGAAGAAUGUAAAUUAAAAUUUUUGGGUGAACUAGCCCUUUAAAUCUGAAACUACAGAGUUUUUGAAAUCUGUCAUUAUUGUUUUUCCACGUCACACUUAUAAGAACUGGAGGAGAAAUGUGGUUAAUUGUGAGGAAAAGAAUGCAUUUUCAGGCUUUGUUUUAAACCAAACAAAUGUCUUAUUUCUUUCUUUUGAUUUUCAGGAUAAAUCUAGCAUGUGCAUCUGUCCUUGAAGCUGUCGAGCAGCAGGACAUGGAUUUGUUGUUGAGGUUUCGCUGCUUGCGCUUGAGCCUGACAACUUAAGAUGAGAGUUCAGGCCAUAAUUAGGAGUCAGAUGGCAUCCAAACCCUCAGGACACUUGCACCCUGGAUCAUGUGGAGAAAAACUGCUAAGCUGGUCUGUUCUCCACUGCCCUAAAACUGACAAAUCUCCCUUCCAUAUCCCGUUCCUGUCAUUCAGGGCACAAACCACGUCUGUAAGAUGGGAUUGGUUACGCUAUGGUGUCACUGGCAGCUGCUAGAAAACCUGCAAACCAGUAAAUGAGAUGACAAGUGUUAUGAAAGCCGACAGAUCAGAGUCCCAAUGAAUGAAGUACAUGACAGAAGAUGGUAAGCAGCAGACCGCUGCAUAUACAGGACAGAAAACCAGAGAGAGAAUGAGAGAGAUCAGGAUGCAUGCAGCAGUGCACUAGCAUAAAAGAUUCAUGGAGUUUUUAGGAUGUUUACCAUCAUAAUACCAUGUAUUUUUUUGCAUACGUAUCAUAGUAUUCUUUGAGUUGCCUUGGGGUACCAUGCAAAUAUGAAUAUGGUAAUCUUUCAGCACUAUGGAACUGUAUAAAUCAGUGGUUUGCAACCUAGAUGUCACAUUGGAUGAGGUACUUUGGGCCUAAGCUGGAAAAAUAUGUUUUUUUUUUUUUUAUAAUCCCUGUGGUGCAAAUCAAGUUUUUAAUGUUGUUAACAUGUCUGUCUAGGGCAGUGGCGCCCCCAGAAAAUUUUAAUAGGGGUGGCCAGAUGAGGCCACAGUAAAUCUUGGGGUGGCACACCAAAAUAAAAGAAAAAGGGGUUUGCA
ensembl:lncRNA